rnacentral:rRNA from 1 species
GAUGAACGCUGGCGGCGUGCCUGAGAUAUGCAAGUCGAGCGGGAAUUAUUGAAGUCGCAAGACGGAUAUAGUUCCAGCGGCGGACGGCUGAGUAACACGUAAGAAUCUUCCCCAGAGUCUCACACAGCUCACCGAAAGGUGGGGUAAUUUGAGAUGGUCUGUACAGAUUUAUCUGUAUUGUAAAGCCGCAAGGCGCUUUGGGAUGAGCUUGCGUCCUAUCAGGUAGUUGGUGAGGUAAAAGCUCACCAAGCCUACGACGGGUAGCUGGCCUCAUGAGGGUGGUCAGCCAGAGGGGGACUGAGACACGGCCCCCACUCCUACGGGAGGCAGCAAUCAGGAAUAGUCGGCAAUGGACGAAAGUCUGACCGCGCGACGCCGCGUGUAGGAUGAAGCUUCACAAGAGUGUAAACUACUGUGGUAGGGGAAAAGAAAGGAUUGUACCCUACUAGAAAGCAGCCGCUAACUGCGUGCCAGAAGCGUCGGUAAUACGUGGGCUGCGAGCGUUAUCCGGUGUCAUUGGGCGUAAAGAGUCGUGUAGGUGGGUAUAUAAGUCACUUUUUAAAUCUCUGGGCUCAACCCAGAAACUUGAAGUGAUACUGUAUGUCUUGAGGAUUUUUUAGGGAGAACGGAAUUGCGGGAGGAGUAGUGAAAUGCGUUGAUACCCACGAGAACUCCAGUGGCGAAGGCGGUUCUCUGGAAAGAUCCUGACACUGAGACACGAAAGUUAGGGGAGCGAAGCAGAUUAGAGACCUGCGUAGUCCUAACUGUAAACGAAUGUAUGCUGGCUGCAUGAAGCUGGACAAUGGUUAUUAGAACGAUCUAACCGCUAUUGUCCAGUUUCGUGUGGCGAAGGUAACCCGUUAAGCAUACCGCCUGGGGAGUACGGCCGCAAGGUUGAAACUCAAAGGAAUUGGCGGGGAGGCACACAACCAGAGGAACAUGUGGUUUAAUUCGACACAAAACGAAGAACCUUACCAAGGCUUGACAUGCUAGCGUUCUAUUUCCUGGAAACAGGAGAAAUCCGCAAGGAGGCUAGCACCGGUGAUGCAUGGCUGUCGUCAGUUCGUUCCGUGAGGAGUGCCCUUAAGUGGGACAACGAACGCAACCCCUGUCGUCUGUUACAAGUGUCAGACGAUACUGCCCUACAGUUUUGUGGGGAGGAAGGCGGGGCAGACGUCAAGUCAGCACGUCCCUUAUGUCUUGGGCUACACACAUGUUACAAUGAACCAUAACAAUGAGCAUUGCGAGCCAGCGAUGGCAAGCUAAUCUCACAAAUUGGUCCUCAGUGGGGAUUGGAGUCUGCAACUCGACUCCAUGAACUUGGAUUUGGUAGUAAUCGCAGGUCAGCUAUACUGCGGUGAAUACGUUCUUGCCUCUUGCACACACCGCCCGUCAAACCAACCAAGUCGGAAAUAUAUGAA